GCAAGUCGAACGGUAACAGGUCUUCGGACGCUGACGAGUGGCGAACGGGUGAGUAAUACAUCGGAACGUGCCCAGUCGUGGGGGAUAACUACUCGAAAGAGUAGCUAAUACCGCAUACGAUCUGAGGAUGAAAGCGGGGGACCUUCGGGCCUCGCGCGAUUGGAGCGGCCGAUGGCAGAUUAGGUAGUUGGUGGGAUAAAAGCUUACCAAGCCGACGAUCUGUAGCUGGUCUGAGAGGACGACCAGCCACACUGGGACUGAGACACGGCCCAGACUCCUACGGGAGGCAGCAGUGGGGAAUUUUGGACAAUGGGCGAAAGCCUGAUCCAGCAAUGCCGCGUGCAGGAUGAAGGCCUUCGGGUUGUAAACUGCUUUUGUACGGAACGAAAAAGCUUCUCCUAAUACGAGAGGCCCAUGACGGUACCGUAAGAAUAAGCACCGGCUAACUACGUGCCAGCAGCCGCGGUAAUACGUAGGGUGCGAGCGUUAAUCGGAAUUACUGGGCGUAAAGCGUGCGCAGGCGGUUAUGUAAGACAGAUGUGAAAUCCCCGGGCUCAACCUGGGAACUGCAUUUGUGACUGCAUG
rnacentral:rRNA from 1 species